AAUGAACGCUGGCGGCGUGCUUUACACAUGCAAGUCGGACGGCAGCAUUACCUUCGGGUAGAUGGCGAGUGGCGAACGGGUGAGUAAUACAUCGGAACAUGCCUAUUAGAGUGGGAUAACUGAUCGAAAGAUGAGCUAAUACCGCAUAAUCUCUGAGGAGGAAAGCUGGGGACCUUCGGGCCUGGCGCUGAUAGAGUGGCCGAUGGUCGAUUAGUUAGUUGGUGAGGUAAGAGCUUACCAAGGCGAUGAUCGAUAGCUGUUCUGAGAGGAAGAUCAGCCACACUGGGACUGAGACACGGCCCAGACUCCUACGGGAGGUAGCAGUGGGGAAUUUUGAACAAUGGGGGCAACCCUGAUCCAGCAACGCCGCGUGAAUGAAGAAGGCCUUAGGGUUGUAAAGUUCUUUUAUCUGGGAGCAAAGGUAUAUGGUGAAUAGCUGUAUAUUAUGAGAGUACCAGAGGAAUAAGCACCGGCUAACUACGUGCCAGCCGCCGCCGUAA
rnacentral:rRNA from 1 species